rnacentral:rRNA from 1 species
GGAGGAAAAGAAACCAACUGGGAUUACCUUAGUAACGGCGAGUGAAGCGGUAAAAGCUCAAAUUUGAAAUCUGGUACUUUCAGUGCCCGAGUUGUAAUUUGUAGAAUUUGUCUUUGAUUAGGUCCUUGUCUAUGUUCCUUGGAACAGGACGUCAUAGAGGGUGAGAAUCCCGUUUGGCGAGGAUACCUUUUCUCUGUAAGACUUUUUCGAAGAGUCGAGUUGUUUGGGAAUGCAGCUCAAAGUGGGUGGUAAAUUCCAUCUAAAGCUAAAUAUUGGCGAGAGACCGAUAGCGAACAAGUACAGUGAUGGAAAGAUGAAAAGAACUUUGAAAAGAGAGUGAAAAAGUACGUGAAAUUGUUGAAAGGGAAGGGCAUUUGAUCAGACAUGGUGUUUUUUGCAUGCACUCGCCUCUCGUGGGCUUGGGCCUCUCAAAAAUUUCACUGGGCCAACAUCAAUUUUGGCGGCAGGAUAAAUCAUUAGGAACGUAGCUACUUCGGUAGUGUUAUAGCCUAUUGGAAUACUGUCAGCUGGGAUUGAGGACUGCGCUUCGGCAAGGAUGUUGGCAUAAUGGUUAAAUGCCGCCCGU